rnacentral:rRNA from 1 species
ACACGGUGGAUGCCCUGGCAGUCAGAGGCGAUGAAGGGCGUGCUAAUCUGCGAUAAGCGCCGGUAAGGUGAUAUGAACCGUUAUAACCGGCGAUACCCGAAUGGGGAAACCCAGUGUGACUCGUCACACUAUCAUUAACUGAAUCCAUAGGUUAAUGAGGCGAACCGGGGGAACUGAAACAUCUAAGUACCCCGAGGAAAAGAAAUCAACCGAGAUUCCCCCAGUAGCGGCGAGCGAACGGGGAGGAGCCCAGAGCCUGAAUCAGCAUGUGUGUUAGUGGAAGCGUCUGGAAAGGCGCGCGAUACAGGGUGACAGCCCCGUACACAAAAGCGCAUGUGCUGUGAGCUCGAUGAGUAGGGCGGGACACGUGGUAUCCUGUCUGAAUAUGGGGGGACCAUCCUCCAAGGCUAAAUACUCCUGACUGACCGAUAGUGAACCAGUACCGUGAGGGAAAGGCGAAAAGAACCCCGGCGAGGGGAGUGAAAAAGAACCUGAAACCGUGUACGUACAAGCAGUGGGAGCACCCUUUGGGUGUGACUGCGUACCUUUUGUAUAAUGGGUCAGCGACUUAUAUUCUGUAGCAAGGUUAACCGAAUAGGGGAGCCGGAGGGAAACCGAGUCUUAAUUGGGCGUUAAGUUGCAGGGUAUAGACCCGAAACCCGGUGAUCUAGCCAUGGGCAGGUUGAAGGUUGGGUAACACUAACUGGAGGACCGAACCGACUAAUGUUGAAAAAUUAGCGGAUGACCUGUGGCUGGGGGUGAAAGGCCAAUCAAACCGGGAGAUAGCUGGUUCUCCCCGAAAGCUAUUUAGGUAGCGCCUCGUGAAUUCAUCUCCGGGGGUAGAGCACUGUUUCGGCUAGG